rnacentral:rRNA from 1 species
UACAGAGGUCUCAAGCGUUGUUCGGAUUCAUUGGGCGUAAAGGGUGCGUAGGCGGCGCGGUAAGUCGGGUGUGAAAUCUCGGAGCUUAACUCCGAAACUGCAUUCGAUACUGCUGUGCUUGAGGACUGGAGAGGAGACUGGAAUUUACGGUGUAGCGGUGAAAUGCGUAGAUAUCGUAAGGAAGACCAGUGGCGAAGGCGGGUCUCUGGACAGUUCCUGACGCUGAGGCACGAAGGUCAGGGGAGCAAACGGGG